rnacentral:rRNA from 1 species
AAAUUGAAGAGUUUGAUCAUGGCUCAGAUUGAACGCUGGCGGCAGGCCUAACACAUGCAAGUCGAACGGUAGCACAGAGAGCUUGCUCUCGGGUGACGAGUGGCGGACGGGUGAGUAAUGUCUGGGAAACUGCCUGAUGGAGGGGGAUAACUACUGGAAACGGUAGCUAAUACCGCAUAACGUCGCAAGACCAAAGAGGGGGACCUUCGGGCCUCUUGCCAUCAGAUGUGCCCAGAUGGGAUUAGCUAGUAGGUGGGGUAAUGGCUCACCUAGGCGACGAUCCCUAGCUGGUCUGAGAGGAUGACCAGCCACACUGGAACUGAGACACGGUCCAGACUCCUACGGGAGGCAGCAGUGGGGAAUAUUGCACAAUGGGCGCAAGCCUGAUGCAGCCAUGCCGCGUGUAUGAAGAAGGCCUUCGGGUUGUAAAGUACUUUCAGCGGGGAGGAAGGUGUUGUGGUUAAUAACAGCAAUUGACGUUACCCGCAGAAGAAGCACCGGCUAACUCCGUGCCAGCAGCCGCGGUAAUACGGAGGGUGCAAGCGUUAAUCGGAAUUACUGGGCGUAAAGCGCACGCAGGCGGUCUGUCAAGUCGGAUGUGAAAUCCCCGGGCUCAACCUGGGAACUGCAUUCGAAACUGGCAGGCUAGAGUCUUGUAGAGGGGGGUAGAAUUCCAGGUGUAGCGGUGAAAUGCGUAGAGAUCUGGAGGAAUACCGGUGGCGAAGGCGGCCCCCUGGACAAAGACUGACGCUCAGGUGCGAAAGCGUGGGGAGCAAACAGGAUUAGAUACCCUGGUAGUCCACGCCGUAAACGAUGUCGACUUGGAGGUUGUUCCCUUGAGGAGUGGCUUCCGGAGCUAACGCGUUAAGUCGACCGCCUGGGGAGUACGGCCGCAAGGUUAAAACUCAAAUGAAUUGACGGGGGCCCGCACAAGCGGUGGAGCAUGUGGUUUAAUUCGAUGCAACGCGAAGAACCUUACCUACUCUUGACAUCCAGAGAACUUUCCAGAGAUGGAUUGGUGCCUUCGGGAACUCUGAGACAGGUGCUGCAUGGCUGUCGUCAGCUCGUGUUGUGAAAUGUUGGGUUAAGUCCCGCAACGAGCGCAACCCUUAUCCUUUGUUGCCAGCGGUCCGGCCGGGAACUCAAAGGAGACUGCCAGUGAUAAACUGGAGGAAGGUGGGGAUGACGUCAAGUCAUCAUGGCCCUUACGAGUAGGGCUACACACGUGCUACAAUGGCGCAUACAAAGAGAAGCGACCUCGCGAGAGCAAGCGGACCUCAUAAAGUGCGUCGUAGUCCGGAUUGGAGUCUGCAACUCGACUCCAUGAAGUCGGAAUCGCUAGUAAUCGUAGAUCAGAAUGCUACGGUGAAUACGUUCCCGGGCCUUGUACACACCGCCCGUCACACCAUGGGAGUGGGUUGCAAAAGAAGUAGGUAGCUUAACCUUCGGGAGGGCGCUUACCACUUUGUGAUUCAUGACUGGGGUGAAGUCGUAACAAGGUAACCGUAGGGGAACCUGCGGUUGGAUCACCUCCUUACCUUAAAGAA